rnacentral:rRNA from 1 species
UUAGCUUCGUGGUGACACAGUGAGAUUGCCUGGCGCGGUGGUGGUUUACCGUGUUCAAGCCUGUAGCCUGUCUUCUAGGCAAAUCCGGAAGACGCGUAUGGUGAGGGGUGAUGGUGGGGCCCGUUUUUGGGUCGAUAACAGGGUUGGUCUGUACUGUCGAGAAAAGCUGCGUUGUGAGGUGUGUUUCCGCCCGUACCCUAAACCGACUCUGGUAGUUGGGUAGAGAAUACUAAGGCGAGCGAGUGAAUCGUGGUUAAGGAAUUCGGCAAAUUGCCUCCGUAACUUCGGGAGAAGGAGGCCCCACCCCUUGAAGAGCGUUUUCUGUUCUAGGGGGUGUGGGGUGCAAUAGCAAGAUGGAAGCGACUGUUUAUCAAAAACAUAGGUGCGUGCGAAGCUGUAAGGCGAGGUAUACGCACUGACGCCUGCCCGGUGCCGGAAGGUUAAGAGGAGCUGUCAGCCCUUUUGGGCGAAGCGGUGAAUUUAAGCCCCGGUAAACGGCGGUGGUAACUAUAACCAUCCUAAGGUAGCGAAAUUCCUUGUCGGGUAAGUUCCGACCUGCACGAAUGGCGUAACGACUUCUGUGCUGUCUUGACCGCGAACUCGGCGAAAUUGCAUUACGAGUAAAGAUGCUCGUUACGCGCAGCAGGACGGAAAGACCCCGGGACCUUUACUAUAGCUUGGUAUUGGUGGCUGGUUGUGUUUGUGUAGGAUAGGUGGGAGACGUUGAAGCAGUCACGCUAGUGGUUGUGGAGUCGGCAAGUGAAAUACCACUCUGAUGUUGCUGGUUAUCUGAACCUGGACCCAUUAUCUGGGUUAGGGACAGUGCCUGGUGGGUAGUUUAACUGGGGCGGUUGCCUCCUAAAUGGUAACGGAGGCGCUCAAAGGUUUCCUCAUCCUGGUUGGUAAUCAGGGUUCGAGUGUAAGUGCACAAGGAAGCUUGACUGUGACACUGACGGGUGGAGCAGGUACGAAAGUAGGAACUAGUGAUCCGGCAAUGGCUUAUGGAAGCGUUGUCGCUCAACGGAUAAAAGGUACCCCGGGGAUAACAGGCUGAUCUUGCCCAAGAGUCCAUAUCGACGGCAUGGUUUGGCACCUCGAUGUCGGCUCGUCGCAUCCUGGGGCUGGAGUCGGUCCCAAGGGUUGGGCUGUUCGCCCAUUAAAGCGGUACGCGAGCUGGGUUCAGAACGUCGUGAGACAGUUCGGUCGCUAUCCGCUGCGCGCGUUAAGACUUGAGAAAGUCCUGUCCCUAGUACGAGAGGACCGGGAUGGACGAACCUCUGGUGUGCCAGUUGUACCGCCAGGUGCAUGGCUGGUUGGCUAUGUUCGGAAAGGAUAACCGCUGAAAGCAUCUAAGCGGGAAGCCUGCUUUAAGAUGAGGUCUUUUAGGUUCCCAGCAGACUACUGGGUAGAUAGGCCAGAAGUGUACACGUUGUAAAACGCAAAGCUGACUGGUACUAAACAACCAUUAAAAAACA